rnacentral:RNase_P_RNA from 1 species
CCAGUCGGCCGGACGGCCGCGGCUGCAAAUGCUGGAAACGGCGCAGUCGAGGAAAGUCCGGGCUCCACGCGGAUACGGCGGCGGGUAACGCCCGCCGGGAGUGAUCCUAGGGAUAGCGCCACAGAGAUCAGUCUGCCGAAAGCGCCUUGGUCGAAAGGCCAUGGGCGCAGGCGAUGGUGAAACGGUGGGGUAAGAGCCCACCGCCGCGACCGUAAGGAAGCGGGCACGGCAAGCCCCGCCGGGAGCAAGACCGAAUAGGAGCACGCGUCGCGCAAGCGACAGGCCCGUCCGCGGGUUGUGCUCGGGUUGGUCGCGAGAACCGCGCCGCGAGGCGUGGUCCAGAGGAAUGGUCGUCCCCUCCGAAGCCUCGGCGGAGGAGGGACAGAACCCGGCUUACAGGCCGACUGGCGUU